rnacentral:rRNA from 1 species
AGAAUCAACGCUGGCGGCGUGCCUAACACAUGCAAGUCGCACGAGAAAGGGGCUUCGGCUCUGAGUAAAGUGGCGCACGGGUGAGUAACACGUGAAUAAUCUACCUCCGAGUGGGGAAUAACUGAGAGAAAUCUUAGCUAAUACCGCAUAACACUUACGAGUCAAAGCAGCAAUGCGCUUGGAGAGGAGUUCGCGGCCGAUUAGUUAGUUGGCGGGGUAAUGGCCCACCAAGACGAUGAUCGGUAUCCGGCCUGAGAGGGCGCACGGACACACUGGAACUGAAACACGGUCCAGACUCCUACGGGAGGCAGCAGUGGGGAAUUUUUGCGCAAUGGGGGAAACCCUGACGCAGCAACGCCGCGUGGAGGAUGAAUAUCUUGGUAUGUAAACUCCUUUCGAUGGGGAAGAUUAUGACGGUACCCAUAGAAGAAGCCCGGCUAACUUCGCGCCAGCAGCCGC